GCCUCUGGCUUUGGUUACUCCACCCUCAGAGCCUGUGUCCCGAACCAUGCGGAUUUACCUUCUGUCCUGCGUGUUGUCGCUGAUCCUGUUGGCGGGUCCUGGUGCGCCUCAGAAGAUUGUGCAGCUCCAGCAGUUUGUGUCGGUGAGACAGGGCGAGUCAGUGACUAUCCCGUGUACCCAGCACGGGAAUGAUGCUUACAUGUACUGGUAUCGCCAGCUCCCGGGCCAGGGGCUCCGGAACCUCUUGUACGCAGUGGAGUCAGGGGAGCCGAUCAGGUCGGACGGGAUCACCGAGAGAUUUUUCGCCAAGAAGACAAACGGCAUCUUCGACCUGAAGAUAGGGACAGUGGAGCGGGCCGACGCGGCUCGCGUUUUGCAUCAGAAUGUCGAUUGUCGUCGAGCUGGUAGUAAUUUUGCCUCUGGUGCUUGGGCCGAGACUUUCUCUUGA